GCCUAAUUAUUAGAUACACCGAGAGUACUAAAACAUAGUACUCCCUCUCUCCUUAUUAUAAUAUAAAGGAUAGAUCACACAUAAUUAUAAGAGAUAGUGUAUAUGCACCGGGUGCACCGAAUAAUUUCUCCCAAUUCAAAGUACUGUCAUACACUUUUCAGAAUGGAGGAACAAUACACUGUCCCGAAUGGAGGAACUAUAGCCAUUCUUAUCAUCGUAGAACUUUGACCAAAGCAUAACACCUCCGUACUUAGGUGACUUCUUUAUUUCAG
rnacentral:misc_RNA from 1 species